rnacentral:rRNA from 1 species
UACAGAGGUCCCGAGCGUUUGUUCGGAUUCACUGGGCGUAAAGGGUGCGUAGGUGGUGAGGUAAGUCGGAUGUGAAAUCUCCGGGCUCAACCCGGAAAUGGCAUUGGAAACUACCUUGCUAGAGGAUUUGAGGGGGGAUUGGAAUACUUGGUGUAGCAGUGAAAUGCGUAGAUAUCAAGUGGAACACCAGUGGCGAAGGCGAAUCCCUGGAAAAUACCUGACACUGAGGCACGAAAGCUAGGGGAGCAAACAGG